rnacentral:rRNA from 1 species
CGGCCGCUGGUUGAUCCUGUCAGUAGUCCUAUGCUUGUCUCAAAGAUUAAGCCAUGCAUGUCUCAGUUCAGGCCUUAAUACGGUGAGACCGCGAAUGGCUCAUUAAAUCAGCUAUGGUUUAUUGGAUCGUGCCCGUUAGAUGGAUAACUGUAAUAACUCUAGAGUUAAUACAUGCCUCGAUGCCCUGACCCUGCUUGCUUGCGUGCGGUGGGGGAUGGGUGCACUUAUUAGACCAGAAGCCAACCAACCAACUGUGCGUGUGCGGCCCACUGCGAGGUGGACGUGGCGUGCGUUGUGACACUCACUUC